rnacentral:rRNA from 1 species
UUGCUAGCCGCCGCGGUAAUACGGAGGGUGCAAACGUUGCUCGGAAUCAUUGGGCGUAAAGCGCACGUAGGCGGCCCAGCAAGUCGGGUGUGAAAGCCCUCGGCUUAACCGAGGAAGUGCAUUCGAAACUACUGAGCUUGAAUACUGGAGAGGAUCGCGGAAUUCCCGGUGUAGAGGUGAAAUUCGUAGAUAUCGGGAGGAACACCAGUGGCGAAGGCGGCGAUCUGGACAGAUAUUGACGCUGAGGUGCGAAAGCGUGGGGAGCAAACAGGAUUAGAAACCCUAGUAGUCC